GUCUUUAGGGACAGCGUUAUAUGUUGCGCUUUGGAGGUAGAGCACUGAUUGAUCUAGGGGGCCAACAAGCUUACCAAACUCAGUCAAACUCCGAAUGCCAAAGUGUUUAAAUAUAGCAGUGAGCCCGUGGGGGAUAAGCUCCACGGACGAGAGGGAAACAACCCAGAACAACAGCUAAGGCCCCUAAUUGUAUAUUAAGUGUGAAACGAUGUGAAAGUGUUCAGACAGCCAGGAGGUUGGCUUAGAAGCAGCCAUUCCUUUAAAGAGUGCGUAACAGCUCACUGGUCGAAUGUUUUCGCGCGGAAGAUGUAACGGGGCUAAAUAUACAGCCGAAGCUUUGUCAUCAUAUUAUUAAUCCAGAUUUCGAUCCAGGAAAUAUGAUGGGUAGGAGAGCGUUGUAUGGGCAAUGAAGCAGCAACGAGAGUUAGUUGUGGAGACCAUACAAGUGAGAAUGUUGGCAUGAGUAGCGAAGGAAGAGUGAGAAUCUCUUCCGCCGAAUGUCCAAGGGUUCCUGGGGAAGGUUCGUCCGCCCAGGGUUAGUCGGGACCUAAGACGAGGUCGAGAGACGUAGCCGAUGGAUAACAGAUUGAUAUUUCUGUACCACUAUAUAAGCGCCAAAAUCGAAUAUAUGUCGCUAAGGAAAGCCUUCGGGCCUACCGACCCACAUAUUAUUAGAUUAGCAAUGGAGUGACGGAGAAGGAUAAAUGAGCCCAGGCGAUGGUUGACCUGGGGUAAAUGCGUAGGGUGAUCGACAGGUAAAUCCGUUGAUCAUGAAACCUGAGACAUGAUGCCGAGCCGCUUUUAGGCGAAGUCAUUGAUUCCAUACUUCCAAGAAAACCUUCUAGUUAGUUUAUAUAGUGCCCGUACCCCAAACCGACACAGGUGGACAAGUAGAGAAUACUAAGGCGAGCGAGAGAACUCUGGUUAAGGAACUCGGCAAAAUAGUUCCGUAACUUCGGAAGAAGGAACGCCCCAGUAAAGUGAGUGAUUAACUUCAUUAGCUUGAACGGGCCGCAGUGAUCAGACUCAAGCGACUGUUUAUCAAAAACACAGGAGGGUGCAAAGUUCGAAUACAACGUAUACCCUCUGACACCUGCCCGGUGCUGGAAGGUUAAGUGGAUAGGUUAGCUUCGGCGAAGCUUUGAAAUUAAGCCCCAGUAAACGGCGGCCGUAACUAUAACGGUCCUAAGGUAGCGAAAUUCCUUGUCGGGUAAGUUCCGACCUGCACGAAUGGUGUAACGAUUUGAGUACUGUCUCAACCAGAGACUCGGCGAAAUUGCAAUGUGAGUAAAGAUGCUCACUAUGCGCGACAGGACGGAAAGACCCCGGAACCUUUACUGCAACUUGAUAUUGAAUGUUUGUAUGCAUUAUGCAGGAUAAGUGGGAGACUAUGAAAUAAUGGCGCUAGCUGUUAUUGAGUCGACCUUGAGAUACCACUUAAUCCAUAUUGACCUUCUAACCUAGAUCCGUUAUCCGGAUCAGGGACAUUGUCUGGUGGGCAGUUUCACUGGGGCGGUGGCCUCCUAAAAAGUAACGGAGGCGCUCUAAGGUCACCUCAGCGUGGACGGCAAUCACGCAUCGAGUGUAAGUGCAAAAGGUGGCUUGACUGUGACACAAACAAGUGGAGCAGGUACGAAAGUAGGAACUAGUGAUCCCAUGGUUGCAUGUGGGUGCGCCAUGGCUCAUCGGCUAAAAGGUACUCCGGGGAUAACAGGCUUAUACCCCCCAAGAGUCCAUAUCGACGGGGGUGUUUGGCACCUCGAUGUCGGCUCUUCUCAUCCUGGGGCUGGAGCAGGUCCCAAGGGUUAGGCUGUUCGCCUAUUAAAGAGGAACGCGAGCUGGGUUCAGAACGUCGUGAGACAGUUCGGUCCCUAUCCGUCGCGCACGUAAGAAAUUUGAAGAAAGUUGUCCCUAGUACGAGAGGACCGGGAUGAACGAUCCGCUGGUGUGCCAGUUGUUCUGCCAAGAGCACCGCUGGUUAGCUACGAUCGGACGGGAUAAGCGCUGAAAGCAUCUAAGUGCGAAGCCCCUUCUAAGAUAAGAUUUCUCAUCGGGUUAACCGAUUAAGACUCCUUAUAGAACAUGAGGUUGAUAGGUCAGAAGUGUAAUUACAGUAAUGUAUGUAGCUGACUGAUACUAAUAAGUCGAGGGCUUGAACUG
rnacentral:rRNA from 1 species